AACGAACGCUGGCGGCAGGCCUAACACAUGCAAGUCGAGCGAGGACUUCGGUCCUAGCGGCGGACGGGUGAGUAACGCGUGGGAACGUGCCCUUUGCUUCGGAAUAGCCCUGGGAAACUGGGAGUAAUACCGGAUGAGCCCUUUGGGGGAAAGAUUUAUCGGCGAAGGAUCGGCCCGCGUUGGAUUAGGUAGUUGGUGGGGUAAUGGCCUACCAAGCCGACGAUCCAUAGCUGGUUUGAGAGGAUGAUCAGCCACACUGGGACUGAGACACGGCCCAGAAUCCUAAGGGAGGAAGAAGGGGGGAAACUUAGAAAAAGGGGGAAACCCUGAACGAGCCAAGCCGGGGGAGCGAAGAAGGCCUUAGGGUUGGAAAGAUCUUUCAGCUGGGAAGAUAAUGACGGUACCAGCAGAAGAAGCCCCGGCUAACUCCGUG
rnacentral:rRNA from 1 species